rnacentral:misc_RNA from 1 species
UAUGAAGAACGCAGCGAAAUGCGAUAAGUAAUGCGAAUUGCAGAAUUCCAGUGAGUCAUCGAAUCUUUGAACGCACAUUGCGCCCUUUGGUAUUCCGAAGGGCAUGCCUGUUCGAGCGUCAUUAUCACCCCUCAAGCCCUCGGCUUGGUGUUGGACGGUUUGGUGGAGGCCCCCUCGGGGGCUCCUGCCCCUCCCAAAGACAAUGACGGCGGCCUCGUUGGACCCCCGGUACACUGAGUUCUUCACGGGACACGUAUCGGACACAUGGGUUUACGGGACACGGUCUGCCUCCCCUCAGGGAGAAUCUUUCUAAGGUUGACCUCGGAUCAGGUAGGGAUACCCGCUGAACUUAAGCAUAUCAAUAAGCGGAGGA